rnacentral:lncRNA from 10 species
GGGCGCCCCUCCCCCAGCCUCGCUGCCGCCUUGCAGUUUGAUCUCAGACUGCUGUGCUAGCAAUCAGCGAGACUCCGUGGGCGUAGGACCCUCCGAGCCAGUGAGAUGAACCCGGUACCUCAGCUGGAAAUGCAGAAAUCACCCGUCUUCUGCGUCGCUCACGCUGGGAGCUGUAGACUGGAGCUGUAGACAGGAGCUGUUCCUAUUCGGGCAUCUUGGCUCCUCCUUGACAAGCUUGAAGGUGAGCACCUCGAAGGGCUUCUUUUUAUGUUGAAAGGCACGGGUUUGCAUGGCGGUUCAUCAGAGGUCAAUACCCCAGUUUGAGAAAGUCCACUGUGGGGAGGAAAGAGAGACUUAAACAAGCCCUGGAAAAACAAAGAAUGGAACACCCCUCCGCUGACUUCAACCAACUGCCUGCUGAUGCGGCCUGACUCCCAGCCCUUUUUGCAGUUUUGAAGUGACAAACUGACUAGGCUACAAAGUAUUCAACCAUGGGCUGGUUCUGGCUGGUUCACCGAGGCUGUGUACAAAGUGUCUUCAUGUCCUGUGUUUCACCUUUUAACAUACAGAACCUAAUUUUACUGCAUUUUAAUGUUAAUUCUCCACUCGAAGGUGAACAUGGGAUGUAUGUAACACAUAUGUUUGCUUAUCAAGCACACAUAUGACCCCCUUUCAUGAAUAUUCAUAGUUCCCCCUGUGACCUGUUGAAUAUGUCUGUUUAGCCAACCUGUUUGGCAUAAAACUCCUAUCCCACCCUAUCUCCCUCAAAGUACCUGUUUGUGGUCUCAGCUGGAGGUGCCACUUCCCAGCCUGCAGUUUGCAACCCUUCUCAAGAAAUAAAGUCUUCC